AAGACCUUGCGCUUUUGGAGCGGCCGAUGCCUKAUUAGCUUGUUGGUAAGGUAAAAGCUUACCAAGGCUUCGAUCAGUARCUGGUSUGAGAGGACGACCAGCCACACUGGGASUGAGACACGGCCCAGACUCCUACGGGAGGCAGCAGUGGGGAAUUUUGGACAAUGGGGGCAACCCUGAUCCAGCCAUGCCGCGUGAGUGAAGAAGGCCUUCGGGUUGUAAAGCUCUUUCACCCGGAACGAAACGGUUACGGAUAACACCCGUGACUACUGACGGUACCGGAAGAAGAAGCACCGGCUAACUACGUGCCAGCAGCCGCGGUAAUACGUAGGGUGCGAGCGUUAAUCGGAAUUACUGGGCGUAAAGCGUGCGCAGGUGGUUUUGUAAGUCAGAUGUGAAAGCCCCGGGCUCAACCUGGGAACU
rnacentral:rRNA from 1 species